rnacentral:rRNA from 1 species
GCUCCCUGAUGUUAGCGGCGGACGGGUGAGUAACACGUGGGUAACCUGCCUGUAAGACUGGGAUAACUCCGGGAAACCGGGGCUAAUACCGGAUGGUUGUUUGAACCGCAUGGUUCAGACAUAAAAGGUGGCUUCGGCUACCACUUACAGAUGGACCCGCGGCGCAUUAGCUAGUUGGUGAGGUAACGGCUCACCAAGGCGACGAUGCGUAGCCGACCUGAGAGGGUGAUCGGCCACACUGGGACUGAGACACGGCCCAGACUCCUACGGGAGGCAGCAGUAGGGAAUCUUCCGCAAUGGACGAAAGUCUGACGGAGCAACGCCGCGUGAGUGAUGAAGGUUUUCGGAUCGUAAAGCUCUGUUGUUAGGGAAGAACAAGUGCCGUUCAAAUAGGGCGGCACCUUGACGGUACCUAACCAGAAAGCCACGGCUAACUACGUGCCAGCAGCCGCGGUAAUACGUAGGUGGCAAGCGUUGUCCGGAAUUAUUGGGCGUAAAGGGCUCGCAGGCGGUUUCUUAAGUCUGAUGUGAAAGCCCCCGGCUCAACCGGGGAGGGUCAUUGGAAACUGGGGAACUUGAGUGCAGAAGAGGAGAGUGGAA